CAGUCGCCGCGGUAAAACGUAGGGUGCAAGCGUUAAUCGGAAUUACUGGGCGUAAAGCGUGCGCAGGCGGUUAUAUAAGUCAGAUGUGAAAUCCCCGGGCUCAACCUGGGAACUGCAUUUGAGACUGUAUGGCUAGAGUGUGUCAGAGGGGGGUAGAAUUCCACGUGUAGCAGUGAAAUGCGUAGAUAUGUGGAGGAAUACCGAUGGCGAAGGCAGCCCCCUGGGAUAACACUGACGCUCAUGCACGAAAGCGUGGGGAGCAAACAGGAUUAGAUACCCGGGUAGUCCCUGUCUCUUAUAU
rnacentral:rRNA from 1 species